CAUGAAGAAUCACUGUUUUAUCUUCAUUUUAGGAUUUUGAAAAUCAGGAGACGAAUCUACAUAUCAAAUUUGGCAAUAUUAAGUUUCAUGAAAAAUGAAUGGAAAAGCAUAAAUAAAAACUAUUUAGCGCUAAACGAAGCUCUUUUGGAUGCUGAUAGGGAGAAAUUCACAACUCACCGAACAAAUAAUAUUGAUUAUGUGCUUGAACAAUUCUACAUUUCCAUGAAGGUGCAUCUGUUGAAGGAAAGACGAACAGCAUCAAGAAAUGAAGUGCGGAGAUAUCAUAUAUUAUUCGAGUUGGCAAGAAUUUGGAAUUAUGCUCUGAUGGGAAUGGUAGUGUAUCUGAUGAUAUCGAAAUACAAUUUACCAAUGAAGGCAUACGAGAUGAUAUAUAGUUAUAUUGAAAAUGUUGGUUGUUGAAUUUACUAGUAACUGAAUGUUCCUGAAUAUGUUAUUAGUUAUAAAUUUCGAUCAAUAAAUAAUUUUGAAUUGUU